CUUGUAAAGUUGCAGUUCACAUGAAUGACACUCAUCCAACACUGCAAUCCUGAGUUAAUGAGAGUACUGAUGAAUGUGAAGGAAUUGAGCUGGUAUGAGGCUUGGAGUAUAUCACAGAAAGAACUGUUGCAUACUCUAACCGCAUGGUGCCUCCUCAAGCUCUAGAGAAGAGGAGCUCAUACAUUAUGCAGAAACUUCUACCUUGACAUGUUGAGAUUAUAUAAACAAUUGAUGAUGAGGAUACUUACACACAUUAAGAGAGUAAUGACUGGAUUUUGAACAUUGAUGACCUUGCAGGCCUAAAGAAGUUUUCUGAUAACGAGUAUACGUAAUCCGAAUUGCGUAAUGCUAAAAGGAAUAACAAGAUGAAGUUAGUUUUGCUGAUAAGAGACAAGACCAAUUAUGUUAUCUGUCCUGAACUCCAGAU